rnacentral:rRNA from 1 species
UACGUAGGUGGCAAGCGUUGUCCGGAUUUACUGGGCGUAAAGGGCUCGUAGGUGGCCAACUAAGUCAGACGUGAAAUCCCUCGGCUUAACCGGGGAACUGCGUCUGAUACUGGAUGGCUUGAGUUUGGGAGAGGGACGCGGAAUUCCAGGUGUAGCGGUGAAAUGCGUAGAUAUCUGGAGGAACACCGGUGGCGAAGGCGGCGUCCUGGACCAACACUGACACUGAGGAGCGAAAGCCAGGGGAGCAAACGGG